rnacentral:tRNA from 1 species
GGUAUAGCUCAGUGGUAGAGCAUAUGCUUAGCAUGCACGAGGUCCUGGGUUCAACCCCAAGUACC